GUAUUUGUCCUGAUUUCAGGGUAUUUUCCUCGUGUAGGUAUCCACAAGGAUUACCUUUUAACCUUGUCCACAAGUUGGAAUUAAUCAGGUCAAGGUGUAUGGCAAAGCGAUGUAUGACAUCAUUGCCGAUGUAAACCUGAUAGCGAGGUUCGUUUAUCACUAGGAAUAAAUGUUUAACUGUCUUAUUUCCGAUGGAAAUAGAUAGUAAACAUUUUGCUAUCACAUUGUGACUCUCUGAUUCGCCAUCCAGGUUCUGGAUCCACCUGUCAUGUGGGGAAGUGUACCUGAUCAUUUUAGGAUUAGCGAUCUGCUUUAACAGACUUCUGCCAAUAUAGCUGUUCUCACUCUUUAAGUCCAACUUUGCAUUCCUACUUCUUCCUAAGUCAUUUAUUUGAAUAGGAAAUAAUAAGUUAUUAACCCUUUCAAUUCUGGCAAGGAAUUGAG